UCCUCUUUCACUAUUACUAUUCAUCUUCUUCCUUUUUUCGGCUUUUGGUAUUCUUAUCUCUGCAAGCUCGGCGAGAAACGGACGGGAACGAUGGUGUGGGUGAACAGCUGAGUGCGGCGUCAUCUAUAUUGUUCAUGGCGAAGAGACUGUCUUCGGUGGCGAACGGUGGUGCGAGGAUCGGAGUGCGUAGGGUGGAGGUCUUUAGUUUUUUUUUUUUCUCUUUUCUUUUGGUGAUACUCUCUGUAAUGCCCCCACUCUAUUGUUCAUUGGUUAUUUUGAUUGGAUUUUCAAUGUCAAAUACAUUUUAGAGUGACUGACUGUUCCAUCUCUGUUUGGAUUUUGAGGUAUUGUUCGAUCUAUUUUUAGAUUUUGCCAUUGGUAUCUCUGUUUUAGUAUUUAGUUUAACGUAGUACUAUGUUUUUUUUUGCUUUGUGUCAUACUCUCUGUUAUGCCAUAACCAUAUUAUUCAUUGGUUACUUUUUUGCAUUUUCACUUGCUAGCUACAUUUUUUUUUAGGGGUGGCGAGUUUUGAAGUUGUUUGCAUUUUGAGGUAUUUUGAUCUAUCUCUAUUUGGUGUUUGUCAUUUUUAUCUCUGUUUUUAGUAUUUAGUUUUUAUGUAGUAGUUUGAUUUAUAUUCAUCAUCUUUUAAAUAAUUUUUAUGUGUAUUAGAAAUGGUUAAAAAGUGAGAGAAUGUUGGUCCUUUUAAAUGCCUUGAUGAGACUGGUUCUUCAUUAAAUUUGCGUCGUUCUCUUUGAAGUCGGGGGAAGGAUUGAAGUGCCCGGGACCUAUGAACUAUAAAGACACUAACAUUAAGGGAGGUAAUGUUAGUGCUUCAUCGUCAUUUGUUAGUGGUGGUUUGCGUUCUUCACCCCGAGCUAAUGGGUCAUCAAAUUUCAAGACCACGGCUGUUAGGUCAAAGAAAGAUCAUGGGAGCAAAGUUAAGGUGGUUUGUGAACUUUUGGCAUUUUGAGAAGGAUUUGAAGCUUAAAGUGGAAUCAGGAUUUGAGGAAUGUUGUUGUAUUGUAGCAGCAUCACAUUCUGCCAACUAAUCUAUUUGGAUGACCCACGUUGGAAGCCACUAUUUAUUUCUCCAGCUCACUUUUGGAAUUAUUUGAAUUGGGCUGAAUGAUAAAUAGAUAAUAUAUGAUUGGGCUUCAUUUUGCCUUGUAUCCAUUUUUGAUAAAAAAAAAAAAGACAUUCAAUUAAAGGAGAUGAGUGGACAAGGCCCACGUGACAAGAGGAGAGAUGCCCUAAGUUUUAUAUACGUCAUCAUCUUUCCCCUUUGGGAAAGGAAUACACGAACCAGACCUAGAAAGGGGGCAGCAGCUGAGGCAAUUUUCAGACCUAAUUUUGGAAAGCUAUUAACGUGAAGGAGAAGAAGAAAAGCAAAGAGAAAAAGCUAGAAGAAAAAGACAACUUGGAGACAUCCAAUUGGCUUGCCAUUCUUACUUCACUCUUAGUUUUUCUUUAAAAUUUCUGAUUAUGGAUUGUUAUUAUUUGGGUAUUUUUUAGAUUAUAUUCAUGAGCUAAACUUUAAAUAGCUAGGAUAAUUUGAACCCUAUUAUGUGAAUUUUCUUGGUACUUUUAUAUUGAUGCUUAUGCAAUUUUA